ACUCGACCCACUAACCUAAUUGUGAUUCGGGGUGACCCUUAAAGAAAAGGUAUUUAUAUGUGCUAGUGUUGAGACUUGGAACUAAUUAAGGCUUCCACAGUUUCCGUGCCUGCUCAGUUGACUAGAUUUAGACGUACUAGUCGGCACUACCAGAGGGGGAGAUCGGACCAGACAAGGGCAACACCAAGAGCACGUGUCGCACUUAGCAACCCAGCAGAACCAAUUUUGUUGCUAUUUUACUUAUCAGCCGCUGUCUUGCGAAGAACAACAUCUGGCAUAGCCUCGGAAAACGGCGUCAAGCGGGUGAAACGCUUACUAUUUAUGCAGCACCAUCGGGACCGCAUGCACUAAGCAUAUAGUGUAACCUGCAGAGAGUAACAAAGGAGCCGACAACAGCGAUCAUAAUCGUCGUAUACAUUGGGCCCAACGUCUGCUUCGAAGGAUAUCGCCAACAGCGAUCAUAAUCGUCGUAUACAUUGGGCCCAACGUCUGCUUCGAAGGAUAUCGCAGUAUUUUGUAGUCGUACAACUCUCAAUUGGCUCAUCAAAUUAUUCGAUCGCCUAAUUAAGGAAGCUAUUCUUACGCUCGCUGCACUUGAACAGCCUUCUUUUUUUUGUUGAGCUAAGCCCAGGGGCUGAAAAGUAUCUUGGACUCUGAGCUGUUGCUGGACUUGGCGCAGCUGUCAGUUUCUCACGUUUGUGUUUGGUUGGUGGCUUAUCAAUGUCCGCCCAGGCGACUUCGAGGAUUAAAUGAUUAAUAAAAUAUUAUUAUAGUCGCAGACAAAUUUGUUGCAGCAGAGUGGGGCCAUUGUUAGCAUAUCAACAAAUGUUGUUGUUAUUUGUGCUGCAUAGUCACGCACCCAGCCGCAGCCGACCGCCCGCCCGUCCACCCGCGCUUGGUAUAAAAAUUCAAAUAAAAACAUAAAAUAGCAGUUGGCACAUGACUCAGCCUCCAAGAAGCUGACAGUUUUUAUGGCAGCACGAACGCGUGUCCUGGCUGCCACACAUCAAAUUGUAUAAUAUUAAUUUCUAAUUGCAUAAAUUUAGCGGCACAUCUCGUUAUGUUUACGAGAUUCCAUUGUCGAGGACAAACAUAAAAAUUAAAGCGCUUCAAGGUGUUUGCGCCCAGGAUCACAACCUCGCAUCCUGGUGCCUCACCUCAGCUCUGCUUGGUCUCGUGCCGGUUUUUGUUUUUAUUUGCCCGUCGCAAUGCCGUCGAUAUAAAAACAACCAUCAAAUGCCGAGUUAAAAUGUUUUAUUAUUUGACUUUAUGUGCUGCCCCGCUCGCCUCCUCAGCAAGCCGGUCACGACAGUUCAAGAGACAAUUGCCGACUGGUUUAUUAUUAUAUUUUCCUUUUUUCUUAGCUCUGUCACAGGCCGAUAACUUCGCCGUUUAGAUGUUUGAUGUCUUUGCAAUAUAAACAUUGUCUGUGCGUCUCCAGCUUCCUGCGGGCAUCCUUAACGGCGCAAUAUCUCUAAAAAUGUUAUUAAAAUCGCAUCGCAAACGUGCCGAUAAGCGUACCCAUCGCAAUUAUUUUGAUUUGCUGCGGUUCACGGCUGACAAUCCCAAGUAUUUACUGUGCAGUACAGUACCAACUGCUUAAAAAAGAUUGCAACAUGCUAUUUGAAGUUUUCGCUCAAAGGGUUUUACUUCAUUAAAUUGAACUCUUAAAUGACAGUCCCUUAUAUUAAACCGCAUUUUCUUAUUAAUAAGUAGUUAUACUUGCUUGUUUUUACUUAUUAUAAUUAUUGCAUUUUUUCAAAAACUACCAUUAACGCAAUGUUACCCUUUAAAAUAUU